rnacentral:rRNA from 1 species
UCGAGAAUCUUCCGCAAUGGACGAAAGUCUGACGGAGCGACGCCGCGUGAUGGAUGAAGUCCCUCUGGGACGUAAACACCUUUUAUGAGGGAGAAAGUUUAUUGAUAGUACCUCACGAAUAAGGGGUUGCUAAACUCGUGCCAGCAGCAGCGGUAAUACGAGUGCCCCGAGCGUUAUCCGGAAUCAUUGGGCGUAAAGGGUGUGUAGGUGGCAUUGUUAGUCACACGUUAAACCCUGGGGCUUAACCCCAGAUCUGCGUGUGAUACGGCAAAGCUAGAGGAUGGCAGGGAUGUAUGGAACUCAUGGAGUAGGGGUGAAAUCCGUUGAUAUCAUGGGGAACACCGAAAGCGAAGGCAGUACAUUGGGCCACUCCUGACACUGAAACACGAAAGCGUGGGUAGCGAAUGGGAUUAGAUACCCCAGUAGUCCCUGAGCGGGCUGGCAAGGCGCAU